AUUUAAAAACAAGAUAUUUAAAAAAAAAUUAAUUAGAGAAACUCAUUCCGUUUAAGUCUGUAGCACGGUCUUCAUGGUAGGGAACAAAAGGUUUUGCGAGUGAGAACUAAUUUUUUUGCAAGAAAAAAUUCAAGUACUGUAGGUACAUAGGCAUCGAUGCAGCUUUAUUAUCAAAAAUAUAGA